CUUUCAGAGAUGACAGGGCUUCAGGGGACAUCGAGGUGUGGUCUAGGGGCUUCAUGCUCCCCAUAGGCCACAUUGACAUCCCUGACGUACAGGGUGACAGGAAGAGUUUCACACCUUCACCAUAUGACAAAUCCUGCAGGGAGUAAGUGUACAAACUAGGCCAUGUAGUCAGCAGGAACACCAACUUUGUGAUCAAUGCUGCCUGUGGCAAGAGAAAUCUGAGAGCUCAUUCCCUAUCUUCUGGCAAAAGGAUAUUCUAUGUGUUAUAAGCAGGGCUGGAAGUAGAAAUGAACACAAGUGAGUCAACAUUUCCUUUGUCAACGUGCUUUUGCUACAACGUGUGUCUCAGGGCAAAAUCUGAAGGAAGAUGAUGCAGCAGCAUUGCAGGAACUUGAACAGGUUUGGUACAUGAGUAAUGCAAGGAAGACUGAUCAAGAAUUCUAUGUAGGGACACACAAACGUGUUCAUGCCAAAAAGUGCUUGCUCUUUUGUAUAUGCUUCAAAUGCAAGCACACAGGGGACUGAUGUGUUAUGAAUCAUUCAAGCUAACACACUGAAAUAUUCACAGGUGCUUACAUUUUUGAGUGCCACAUACCCCUUCUCUCCUCCCUCCCCAAGGCAGCUCAGAUCUAUCAAGGGCAUUCUUUCUCAGCUGAAAGGUUAAGCUUACUGCUUUAGUAUUACAUUUCUUUUGAGAAUGUUCUGAGACAAUGCACCCUGCCAUGCCAGGUAAAAAUGUGACAAGGAGCCUUCAGCCAUCCAAAGUGCGGAGUAGAAUAUCCUCCAGCUCAUUCACUCCAGGGCCAGUGUGUGAUAAUCCAGGCUGUGUUUCCAAGACCAGGCUGCACCUUCUUCUUGGUGGUCCCUGGGGACUAUUGUCUAAGCACACUUCCCGUUCCCCAUCUGAGGAGGCCUCCUCCAGGUAGGACAUGACACCGUCAUUCAUUCAUAAUGAACUAGGGCAGAUAUAUUGAAUUGGAUUAUCUGAGGAUCCUUCCCCACAGCUAUAUAACCCAAAAUAUCAAGGCAGAUAAUUCACAAUAUCUGUUUUGAAUUGGUUUAUCUGAGUCCACACUGCCCUAUAAUCCAGUUCAAUGUGGAUUUCAUACAGCUAUGUGGAAGGGGCCUGAGUCUACACUGCCAGAUAAUCCAGUUCAAAGCAGAUAAUCUGAAUUUUAUACAGCUGUGUAGAAGGGACCCUAGACAACCUGACUUGUAACAAUAUAUAAUUUCUGCAUCAAGAAAAAUUCAAAACUAUAACUAAUGAACAUUUUGCUGUGUGUGUUAAUGUGGAUGCACCUUGUAGCACCUUGAAGACUAACAGAGAUAAGUUUCUAGCACAAGCUUUUGUAGACUAAGGGUGCAUCUACACCACACAUGUCAAUUACAAGGCCUGUGGGCCAAAAUCAGCCUACCAUAUCAUUUUAUGUGAUCCACAAGACUUUCAAUGCCAGGUCAACAUAGUUACAUGUAUACAGUCUUACAAUUAUAAACAGCCCUUUGAUGGCAACCAUAAGGCUGAUGUGGCCCUUGGUGAAAAUGAGUUGACAUCCUGAUCUACACUGUAGAAUUAAUGCAGUGUGGCCCCACUUAAACUAUCAUAGUUCUCGCAGAAGCAGAGGCAGCAGGAGGACAUUUUUGCUCCCUGGCUUCAGGUAGGAUUUGGCUAAGAUUUGGCUAAGAUUUUAAACUGAGUGUGGGCUUGGCUCCUGUGGUCAAAGUCUAACUGUUGUGUGACUGUUGUGUUGAAAGAGAGCCAGGUACUUAAGUUGAUUGACAGCAGGCAUUGUCCCCUGUUAAUUGAGUUUCUGGGAAAGCUUUAUUUGCCAGUGUCGCGCGCGCCGUCAGGCACCUUUACUAACUAUCCUUUGCAGUACAUACAGGAAACAAAGCAACAUAAACAAAUACACAAAGAGGUGGUUUGUUGCAGUCUGCACAUAAAGUGCAUGCAUAUUACUUAACUGUACAAAAUCCCACUUG
rnacentral:lncRNA from 1 species